rnacentral:rRNA from 1 species
GACGAACCGUGCGAACGUUGUUCGGAAUCACUGGGCUUAAAGGGCGCGUAGGCGGGAUGGCAAGUCGGUCGUGAAAUCCCUCGGCUCAACCGAGGAACGUCGAUCGAUACUGCUGUUCUUGAGGAUUGCAGAGGAGACUGGAAUUCCCGGUGUAGCGGUGAAAUGUGUAGAGAUCGGGGGGAACACCGGUGGCGAAGGCGGGUCUCUGGGCAAUUCCUGACGCUGAGGCGCGAAAGCGUGGGGAGCAAACGGG